UCUGGGGCUGCUGCCAGGAGGAAGUUCUGCAGAUGCCAGGAGAGCUGGGGAAUGUGGGCCCGGCCAGUGAGGUGCCAAGGAACAUGUGGGACCUGAUGGGGGAGGGUAACCCUCCAGCUGCCUCAGGGAAGAACAUUCCAGAAAACUGAACAGGAAAUUCAAAGCCAGACAAGUUGCAGAGGAGAAAAGGCCACAGCUAGAGGCCAAUGACCACUGGACUUACAGGGUCAGAGGCUGCAAGGAGCGUGGUCAUUGGGUGCAAAGGGUGGGUCGCUGUUAGGCCUUCUUGCCAGCGGCAUGUGGCAAAUGGGUGUGGAAGGGUGCUGUGGCAGAUGGCCAGCAGCAGCUGGAAAGGCCAGCCACAGGCAACAGAAAGCAGGGCCCAGAGACUGGCCGCUGGGCUGAGGAGGACAGCAGUGCCAGGGCGUCCCUUACCAGACUCUACGGUUGCAGCUGGGCUGUGACAGGUGGGAUAAGCCAUGGAUUUCCCAGGAGAGACUCCAUGGCUCUGAUGUGGACCUUAUGAGUUGGAGCAUGCGGGCGGCCACGUGUGCAGUCAACUUCAUGCAGGGCACUAGGCCAUGGGCUCCCCAGAGCCGGCAGCCCCAGCCCAAAAGCCAAAGUCUCUCUCUAGGAUUCAUUUUGUUUUGAAAUGCAGCUGGAGUGGAGUUCCAAGGCAUUACUCAGGCACAGCUGAGAAUGAGCGGGACAGAAGUGGGCCGGAGACGCGUGUCUCCUGACACCACCGCGGCCCCUGCAGGCCUUGGUAGUACUUUUGUCAUGGCUCCAGCUUGGCCCUGGCCAUACCCAUGCUGCCAGUUCUUCCCUGUUCCUGAGGCUGCCUUCCUGUGCUGUGGUUGUGUCCACUGCACUCUAUCUGCUGCCCAGUGUGGUGGCUAAAGCAGCAAGACCUGCCCUCUGAAGAAGGCCUGGCCUCUGCACACACAGCCUUGGCCUGUCUCCUCUCCCCGCGCCCUCCAGGCCUUCCUACCUGCCGAAGCUGCUAUCAUCAGUUCCCUGGAGUUGAGGGAGUAAGCUGAAGGGUGUGCUGAGCACAUUUGAGGGACAAGACCAAGAUUGGAAAGUACCUGCUACCCUGACGCCCCAAAACCUGGCGUGAUAUUGGCGAGUCCUGUUUCUCCAGACACAGACCCUACAGACAAUAAGAAAAGUGGAGUCACAGACCAAGAAUGGAGGCGCCCGAGCUUUUCUUACUCCUCAUGUAUGUACCUUUGUUGAAAUCUUUACUCCUUCACUGGCUGUGAGCCACUCUCCAGCACCCUCUAGUUUCCUUCUGAAAGACUCCCUUUGGCAUAGUUCAAAGAGGUAGAGUUGGACGACUCCGAUUUUCAGCUUUGAAAUUUACGACAAAAUUAUAAGAGUAAUUAAAAUAGCAUGAUACUGAUAUCAAGACAGGCAUACAGACCAGAAGGAAAGAAUAAAGGACUCAGAAAUAAACCUUCAUGGGCCAGGUGUGGUGGCCACGCCUUCAUCCCAGCUGUUCAGGAGGCUGAGGCAGGAGGAUUGCAAGUUUGAGGCCAGCCUCAGCAACUUAGUGAGGCCCUGUCUCAAAAAAUAAAAUGUGCUGGGGAUGUGGCCCAGUGGUAGAGUGCCCUGGGUUCAAAGCCCAGAACCACCAAAGAAGGAGGAGCAGCAGAAGGAGGAGGGGGAUAAAGACCCUCUUGCAUGGUCAGCAGAUACUUGACAAGAGUGCCAAGGCCAUUCAACGGAGAAAGGACAGUUUUCCACCAGUGCUGGGAGACUGGACGGCCUUGAGGAAACAGAGAAAAUGAGCCCCUAUCUCCCACCACACGAAAAGAGUGACUCGGCGUGAGCCACAGACCUGACUGACCAGCUGAGACGGCGAGACGCAGGAGAAAAGGAGGAGGGGUCUUCGUGCUGUUGGAUUUGGCAACAAGUGCAGUAUGGCCCCCAAAGCACAGGCAACCUCACAACAAAAAUAGAUCUCAAUGUGAUUUUCAUCCAAUCUAGAAUUUUCUUCCAUGAAAGGGCACUACUAGGAGAGUGAAGCCCGGCACGGUGGCACACGCCUGUGAUCCCAGCGGCUCGGGAGGCAGGAGGACCACAGUUCGAAGCCAGCCUCAGCAAAAGCAAGGUAAUAAGCAACUCGGUGAGGUCCUGUCUGCAAAUAAAAUACAAAAUAGGGCUGGGGGUGUGGCUCCGUGGUGGAGUGCCCCCGAGUUCAAUCCCCAGACCUCCCCACCAAAAAAGAAAGUGAAAAGACAGACUACAAAAUAUGAAAAGAGGUUUGCAAAUCAUCUGAAAAAGGGUUAAUAUUCAGAAUAUAUAAAGAGCUUCUACAAUCCACUAAAAAUGGGCAGAGAACUCGGGUACACAUUUCUUCACAGAAGACCUACAGGUGGCCAGCAAGAAGACGCGCUUCUGCUGUGCUACUCAGGGGUGGUUCCAGACACCAGGCCUCCUUCUUGAUUCCUAUUCUAAAUUAAAAGGAAACUGUUACAAUGCCUGGAGCCCUAGGUGUCCUGCAAAUGUGGGAGGAGGGUGUCCUCGAGUUCCUCACAGCCAGAGCCUGCUUAGCUGGCAUGGCCCUGGUUUCCAAAUGGAAUGGUGUGUCUGCAAAAGGAAAGGCAGCGGCAUCGGUGUCAUGAGCCUGAAGAGGCCCCGGGAGGAGUCAGGCCAGGGCUGCCACUGAACCCCUGCUGACGUCAGGUUAUGGCCUCCAGGACACUAGCCAGUGGGCAGCAAUGGAGUUUGGCCACCCCUGUUGCUGGCGGCCUCCCUCCUGGAGCCUUCACCAGCCAGAUCUGGACUGUCUUUCCGCAGCCAUGACUCUGGAAGGUUCCCAUCAGGACUGACCAUUAGCCACUCCCACAGGCCUCUCAUGCCAACAUGCCUGCCGCUGCUCCACAACCCAGACUCUCCCCUGUGCCCCGUGGACACUGCCACCCCACGAAGCCUGGGGGCUGCCUUUGGCCUGAUGUGCUGGAGGCUGGCCCCAGAAGUCCUGCACACAAGUGGCACCAUUUCUCGUGGAUACCUGUGGAGGUGGCUACUACUUCUAUGAGACCCCGAAGAGGCUGAAAAGGAAGAGCAGGUUGCUUCUCAGGAGGCUGUGCCCCUCCCCUGAGGAGGCUGUGCCCCAGGAGGUCCCAGGUGCCCCCUGAGUCCCUCAACAGAGGAGCCUGUGCGCAGGAGGGUCCCAAGUGUGUGGGCUGCUCUAGCAGCUCUCUGCUGCAACCUGAGGCUGCAGACUGGCCAGGGGUACAGGUGCCCCCUGUGCCCCUUCAGAAGUCCCCUGCUGAAGACUGGUCUCGGGUGACCUUCUGGUGGGCUUGAACUGUUCUUCUCAUACACUUAAACAGAAUGGAAGUGAGGUCACGGAAGAUAAGUUCCUGUCCCACCAAAAGAAAAAGAGAAGAGAAGAAAGAAGACAUGCAGACAGCAACAGGAAAGAGGCCCUCGCCUGGCCGUCUCUGUGUCCUCCCUCAGCCCACUUUCUGCCUCCCAGGAUUCACCUCCUCGGGGAUCUUGUUGAUGUGGAAGGGCACAUGUGUAGCCUGUGUCUGCCUGUCCCCAGCACGUGUGCUCGAGGUUUGUGCAUGAUGUGACUUUCAUUCAUCACAGGGACAGACUGAGCUGGCCCGUCCCUCAUUGGUGGGUGGACACGUCUGACCCUGUUGGCUGUUGUAAGUGGUGCUGCACGGCUCAUGUAAAACCUGUCUGGACAGCUGUCAGCUCCCGGGCAAGUCCCUGCCGCGGGAUGCACAUGCACCGGCACAGCAGGAGUUUCCAACUCUGCUGCCCAUCAGUCACACCCGUGUUUCCCGUGCCUUGGACAGUGGCCCCACUCAUGCACAGAAAGGACACCUGGCUGUGCUGACUGGCCUGUGCUGACGUUGUCCCAGAGCACAGGCCAGAGAGAUGUCUACUCAAGUCCUUUGUCCAUUUCUUCCCUUUUCCUUGUGGGGGGACGGCACCCUGCGGUGCUCCACCACUGAGCUGCACCCCAGCCCUUUUUAUCUGGAGACAGGGUCUUACUAAGUGGCCGAGGCUGGCCUUGACCUUGUGACCCUCCUGCCUCAGCCUCCCCGGGGCUAGGAUGGCAGGUGUGGCCGCUGCGCCUGGCUGGGCCGCGUCUGAGUGGGGCUGCGGGACUCCUUCUGUGUCCCUUUGCAGAUGCUCGAUUUGUCAGGGUCCCCCCCAUUCUUGCCUUUCACCCACUUGACCAUGACCUCUGAUGCACAGGGUUUUUAAUUUGGGUGAAGUCCUGUGUUUUUAUUUUCAUUUUGUUGCUUGUGCUUUUGGUGCUGAGCUAGAAUCCAGGCCGACUUGUGCCUCGGUGCCUGAGGAGCGCCUUCGUGGCCGCCUUGUGGCAGGGCUUUAUUUAGGCUGCCCUCCUCUGCCUUCUCUGCUCCUCUCGCGUGGCCACACUGCGGUUCUCCAGGUCCUGCCAGCGCCUCCCUCGCUCUCCUGUCCACCCCACGUGCUCCUGGCACCUCUGCAGGGCAUGAAUGGGGCGCUGCCUGCUGAUGCCAGCUCUCGAGCCGGGGGCUCCGCUGAAGCUCUGCCCCUGUGCGUGUGUCACCAGGAUCCCAGCAGAGCCUGUGUGGGAGGACCUGGCCCCUCGGCCCUGCUCUGCCUGUAGCAUCACAUGGCCCAGCAUACACAGAGCCGGCAGCCACCACAGGAGGGUGAACGGGGCCAACAUGCUGAUCACAGAAGCAACAGCUGAAGCCGUCCCUAGUUUAAUUAAAGGCCCCAUGUGACCUGAGCAGGUCCCCUCCCACGGGCUCCUGGAUGUCCUAUUACACACAAGGCCCCGCUGCUCACAAGCAGAGAGCCCAGGGGCCCUGGAGAGUGUGGAGCACGUCCAGGUGAGGGUGGGGCCUCGAGGACUGAGAGAGCCACACCACCUCAGAGGCCACGUCUGCAUGUGGACCAGGCAAGCUGCCAGCACAGAAGCUGGGUGGUGGGGGCCCUGAUGGGGCAGGCGAGAGACCCUCAGGAGGCCCUCCCACCUCGGCUGAUUUCAUGGUCAGCAAACUCUGUGGCCAAAAUGACAGUGGCCCACAGGGGGAAGGAGAAGGCAGUGCCUGCUUUGUAGAUCCUUCCCUCCCGGGUGAGGGGGAGGAGCAGCCUCCCAGCUCCCAGGGGGCACUGGGAUCUUGGAUCUCGGGUCUCCUGCCAGCCACAGCCUCUUCACACCUCACCCCUGUGUGCAAGCUGGAGCCCACCUCCUCUGCCGAGCUCCAUUAAGGAAACCUCUGGGCUGCUGCUGCUGUCUGAGGCAGUCCUGUCCCACUGUGCUCUUGGGAAGUCACAGGGAGAGCCAGCAUCAGCUCCUGCACUGAACUGCACAAGUGCACCCCCAGAAACAGCGAAGACUUCCCGUGUCCCCUGGAUCCAGAGGGUGUCUGCAGCCUGUUCUGGCAGCAGGAGGUGGCCUAGGUGGACCUAGGUGGAGGCCAGGCUGGCCCGUGCCCUUGGUAUUCAGGUGGUCAUUGAGCUGACAGGCCCCCGGGGUGUGUCCCCGCCUUCCACCUUGACAAACACCUGCCCCAGGGGCUACAAAGGCCAGGUGAGGUGGAGAAUUCUGGAACCCCUUGGCGUUGUGAGCAGAGCAUGGCGGCCCAGAGAGCUCCCCCUUGCCCGGCCUGCAUGGCUCCUUGCUGUUCAGGUGGACACUCCUGUCCAAGCAGCCUACGUGGGCCUCCUGUCUACAAUGUGGAGCCCUGGCCGCUGGAGGACCCACACUCCACAGAGAAGGGGUCUGGAGGUGGUUUGGCCAACUCAACUCUUUCCGUAGUUUCUAUAAAGGUCCUGAACUGUUGCUAGUGCCCUAGGAAAGGUUGAAAUUCUCUGAACUUAAGUGAGUAAAAUAAACAGCAAAAACCUGUCAGAGCCCAAUGGAGUUCAGCGUGAAGACAUCACCACUGUGCAGGACGCAAGUCUUGAAAUGUGGAAAAUCCAGAAUGAAUACUCUUUCUUAGAAAGCAAAAGAGACACUCCACUGUGGGUGACAAUGUGCUUCACUGUGACGGCAGAGCACAAGGCGUCAGAGCACCAACAGGUGAGAACCCUGGCCUUCACACACCUUGCCUUGCUGUCUCCUCUUCCAUUGAAAUCAGGCUUCAGAGAGGAUGGCUAUCUCCUCGGGGACAUGGACACCACAAAGGGACAUCCUGCCCAUCCUGAGAACCAGGGGACAUGCCACAGCAUCACAGUUUGUUUUUUCUAACUGCAUCAAAGAGCUGAGGAUAUGGAGAACCUUGGAUCAACUAGAGGCAUCAGAGUUUUCCUGGAGAGAAGGACCAUGACUGCCUCUCUGUUGUAGAGGUCUGAGGAGGAAUGUGUGCUGGGAGAAGCUGGCUGGACUUGGUACAUGUGGACUGGAGUGCUGAGUAUCCCUCUCCACCCCAGGCAGGUCUGCAGGGAGUGUGGGGGUCAUGUCCUAAACACUGGGUGGGGGGGGCCUGGGGGAAGCCCCCCACAUGCAUGGCGUCGGCUGAGCACAUGCCAUGGUCCUGAGUCUGGGACAGAACAGAGGGCAGACAGAUGUCCUGAGUCACAGAAAACCAAGCGUGGAGAGCAACCAGUGAUAUGUGAUGCAAGGCAGAGAGGAACCCCCAGCUCAGGAGGCCAGACGGUGAGGCCCUGAGAGGCCUGAGCAUUUCACCAGCAUUCAGAGUUAAAUUUCCUCAGGAGGGGAAGCUCCGAUUCAUCUUCCAAAAUAUUUACACUCAUGGUCAUGGUGAACUGAAUUUCACUGAAAGCACAACAGAGCUCAGACCCAGCUCAGCUGCAAAUAAAUCAAUUCAUCCCUCACUCAGUGUCCUUACCAAAGAAGAAGCCUGUCCUUUAUUUGAUAAAGAUAAGUAUCAAUCACUUCUGUGUCAACAAGUCUUUAUUCAUGAUGAGCGGCAUAAAACAAAAAAUUACAAGACACACACAAAAAGCAAGAAAAUGGUCCAUGGGAGAAGGAAAAAGGUGCUGACAGAAGUGGAUCUGGAGAUGUUAGCCCGAUGGCCCAAAGAGACCCAACCAGGACUGGUGUGAUAGAGAACGUGGCAGAAACGUGGGUGACAUGCGCAAGCAGGUGGGAAACUUAAGCAGCUGAGUGGGAACUUAAAAAAAGUGCCAAAUGGAGAUUCUAAAAAUGAAAAUGUGAUGUCAGGAAUGGAGAAUUAACUAGAUGAGCUUCACUCCAGAGGAAAGAGCUAGUAACCUUGACAGGAAACCAGAAUCACCCAAACUGAGGCCCAAUAAAGGAAAGGAGUUUUGAAAAAGAGAUCUGGGACCCGUGGGAUGUGGCCAAGUGGACUAGUGAGUGUGUGGCUUGACACAGAGGGGCCAGGGUCUGAAAUAGUGUGUGCGGAGAUGACGGUCUAGAACUUUCCAAAGUUGAUGAACAAGGGAAGCUCCGGGAGACCCUCGGCACACCAGCCGCACUGCUGAGGGGCAGAGGUGGAAAAGUGAGGGACAAGAACACAUUUCAUCAGAAGACACAGCGGCCAGAGGUCAGCGAACCGCCCUGCAGGGCAGAGUGAAUGACAGGCCGAGCGGCUCUCACAUCCAGCCAAAGAGAAGGAGCAAGAUGGGUUCUGCUGAGGGGCUCCUUCCAGCAGGCCAGCGCCAACAGCGGGUGGAAGCGGGGGGCCUGAAGCUGGGAACGAGUAAGGUGAGGUGUGAGCCAGGAGAGAGGGAGAGAGCCAUCUGGACAGAGCCUUCUCUGAGACCAUUGACUGCUGAAAGCAAAAAUGGUGACAUCAUCUGGUUUAACAGAAGCCAAACAGAGCACACAGGAGCUCACAGAGGGCAUGCUCAGGGUGCCUCCAUUUGACCCCGCUCUGCUUUGAGAGGCAGCUGCUGUCAGCUGAACACAGCUGCGUGGAUCACAGGUGUCUCCGGCCAUCUCCUGAGCAACGCCUAGAGAUCAGCAGAGGGUCCAGCUCCACAGUCACCAGAAGAGAUGGGAUGCAACAGCUAAGUUCACACAGACGGACACCAGCCGCAGCCUGCUUCUCCCAUCCUCGGGCCCCAUUUGACUUCUCUUAGAAAGGCCUGCUGCUUCCCACUCUGAAGUUGUGCCCAUCUUUGCAGAGGGACACCUCAGAGCUUUGAAGUUUUGAUGUCAUUGUGGUGCAUCUUAGAGUCUUCAUUUCCAAUGGCUGCUGCUGACCCAGGACCCGUGUUUCCUCCCAAAGACACUGACCAGGUUAUCGCAUGCAGCCCGACACCAGCUCCAGAUCAUAGCUGUUUUCGCUUGGAUCUGGAGUGCCCCCGAAAGGCUUGCAUGCGUCCAGAGAUAGGCUCUUGGGAAGGGACUGGAUCACAAGGGCGAUGACCUUCAGAGUGGAUUAAUCCACGGAUGGACCGUGAUGUGGCUGCUGGGGGGAUGGAGACUGCAGGGGGUGGUGUGAUAUGGAGGAAGGGGCUACUGGGCGUGUGUGCUGGAAGGUAUAUCUUGUCCCCUGCCCCUUCCUCCCUUUCCAUCUCUCUGUGCUUGGGGCCUGCCAGAGCUGAGCAGCUUUCCUCUGCCGUGACUUCCAUCGGGAUGUUUCUCCCUGGAGCCAGCCCACCCCCACUGUGGACUGAACCUUCUGAGGCCAUGAGCACGAGAAAGCUCCCCUCUUCCAAACUGCUGUUUCAGGUAUCUGUCCCUGAGGCAGGAAGGCGAGCACAUGGAGCAGCUGGCCAGGAGCCUCUUCCACCGGUUCCUCAUGGCCUGCAAAGACUGAGGGCAAGGUCAGCCCUAGGGCUCUGACCAAGGCUGGAGCCCACGUCCUAGGCUCCAUGCAGGUGCUGCACAGCCAGUUUUGGGGAUAGGGUGUCGGGAGUUGGAGCCCUUCUUACUGCUCACCAUGUUCCUGGAAUCCCUCUGGUCUGGAGCCCCCUCCAUCUGAGUGGGAAAAGAGAAAGGAGGGACGGUGGCCUGGCCGCAGGUCCUGCAGACAGGAGUGGGGUGAGUCCUGGCCUGCAGGACCCCCUCUGCUAGGCAGGAAGAGUGUACAGUGACCAGAGGCCGCUCCUGAAAGACCCAGCUCUGUCCCUCCCAACACACUCGUCACUGAGACCUCACUAAGAUGGUGGGGACUGGAAUGGGAACCUGCUACAUGGCAGAGAAGCCGUCCUGCUCCUGCUCCGUGGCUCUGGCGAAGGCAGGAGGAACACACACACACAGUUAGUUGGCAGGAAGAACCAUGUUAUUGAUGUAGCAGAUUCUAUUGUUUAAGUAAAUAAGGCGAAAAAUACGGAAAAUUUUGCUACCAGACCCACCUUCUAUUUUGGCCAAGCAAUUAGGAACUGCCCUCCAGCUUUGCAGCACUGGCUUCUGGGGGCCCAGGCUACCCCAGGGAGCUCACUGACCACAUCCGUUGUCCUGCAGCCUGUACUGCUCCCCAAAGGGAGGUGUGGACAGGCCUACUGACCUCAGUGUACUACAGGCGCUCCACAGCCUCCUCUCCAGAAGGACGGGGCACUUGCUUAAGAAGUCCAGUUACCAAGGGCCACACCUGAAGCAGCAGUGGUCACGGCACUGUUAACAACUGGCAGGUCCACGUACUUUUCUAGUAGAUCAAGUCGUCUGUUCUGGACCUGUGACAAGUGACUUUGCUGGCAUCCCUGGUGAUGGAUGAAAGGACGUGCCAAAUUAAUAGAAUUGGGAUCACAAAGCAGGUGCUUUUAUUGAAGAAUAAUUUUGUGAUAACGAUGUAAUGUGGGAGCCUCCAGCAUAAGAUCAAAUUAUGUGCAGAGCAAACUGCAAACUCAGGCUUUCUGCAACCUGUGUAGGGCUGGGCUGAUCUGUUCAUGGACCCUCUUCAAUAGGCAGCCGUCAGAGUGACAGGCAGCCACAGCAGGGCCUCCCGGAGGCCACACAAGGAGGCCCCCUCCAGCAGGAAGCGGUCCCCUAAGGUCUGGUUGUUUUCAUCCUACCGUGGGGAAUUAUUACACAACAAAAUGAAUCCCUAUUUUGACUUCUUGAAGACACAUGACAGUGGGUUUGACUAACUUCUGAAGUACCCACAGUAUAGAAGCUAUUUUAGUGUAGAAUGUCAGUAUUUGUGCUCUUACAUAUGAUGUUUGUUGGUUUGUUGGUUUUGGCUAUCCACAGCCAAAUAGGGAUUCAUUGCUCUUCCGAACAUUUUAAAACAAAUCUAUCUGAGUGCUGGUCAUUCCUCCACCUGCAGAUCUGCCCCCUCCCAUCCCAGUUCUGCUUGGGAUCUGCCCUGUGGCCCAUUCCCAGCAGGUCAGUGGGAGGGCUGUGGAGUAGGUCUGUGCCUCACUGUGCUGGCCCACUGCCCCUUCCCACCCAGGCUGCUCACAACUUGGGCACACCCUGGCCUUGCCUCUGCAAAUAGCUCUUCCUGCCGCAGAGUGGCCCUGGAUUCCUGCCGCAGCCCUUCCCUGUGUGGAGAGGGUGCGCCCACCUGUGUCUUGCAGGGGUGAGACCCCCAUGCUGUGGCAUGCAGCCAGCCUCUGAGGACCUCUCAGGACCGCAGAGCAGUACCCAGGAGCCUGGUGGCCAGCCACACCUCCCACCUUCCCUUCACUGCACCCUCAGUCACUACCUGGGGAAGUGGCCAGAAGAGGAAGCGCUGUCACUCAGGACCCCUCACGCUCACCUUCAGUCUCCAAGCUCCUCCUGGGAGUCUCUGGGCCUGGGGAGGAUGAAGAGAGCGGAAGGAAGGAGCUGGGAGCCCAGGAGGUGCGACUGUCUCCGGCUCCACCCAGCAAUCCAGCACCUGAGUCUGGCUGAAAGGAAGGGUGGGCUGCGGGAGGACCUCACAGCCCCCGCCCGAGCGGAGGGUCGGCUGGCGUCCUGGCCUGACGCCCUCUCGGCCCACUGGCCCUCCAGUCCAGAGCUGCAGGGCAAAGCUCAUGAGUAGCCAGGCAGGACCACAAACACAGGGAGGAAGGCCCCUCUCCCACGACCUGCGCUGCUCUUCUUGCUUCUUUUGGAGAGAAGGAAGUCACACUCCCGGGCCUGCUGUGACGACUCAGUACCCAGUUGGUGGCUGGAAACACAACUCAUUCCUUCCGUCAGAGUGGGGGGGCUGAGGCCCAGGUGUCCCCAGUGUCUGAUGCCUCUGCCAUGGCCGCCUCAGGACUGAGGGCUCCGGGGCCAUGACCACUCACUCUGGUCCCCCCAUCCCCAUCUCCCUGGGCCUCCUCCCUGCAGGUCCCAGGGCUGGGGCCUCCAGGGCCGUGACCACUCACUCUGGCCCCACCUCUUCCCUGUGUCUCAGGUCCUUUUCUCUCAGAAGGACACCUGUCAUCCAGGUUAGCUGCUGCCCGCAGUGUGGACACUUCACCUCGAGAUUCACAACUUGAUUACAUAUGCAGAGACCCUGGUAAGGUCUAAUAAGAUCGUGGUCACAGGCGGGCAGGGGACACCUUCUGCCCCUGUGGCGCACAGCAGGCAGGUGGCUUGAUCUCGCUGUUGGUGAUGUAGCUUGGAAGGCUCGUGCCUGUCCAGGCAGCUCUGCCAGGUGUAUUUCCCCUGAGCUCUGACUACCUCUCCCCAUGGGACACACUGUCCCUUCGUGGCUGCCUGUGACCACACCCGAGUUCACUGUCCUGGGUCUCCACACACUUACGGGCCUUUCUGUAGAAGGAGUCUUAAAAAGCAGGUUCUCUGGGGCAAAAGACGUAAAUGUCUAACUCUUCAUAGUUGCUGAUACAUAGCCAGGAAGGCGGCCUGUGCCUGUGGUCCCAGCUGCUCCAGAGGCUGAGUUGGGGAUUGCUUGGCCCAGCAGUCCCAGGCCAGCCUGGGCAGGACAGGGACCCUGUCUCAAAAAACAAACAAAAAACCCAAGGCAGAUGGUUUUCUUGCCUUCCUUCUUUUUUCUUUUUUUUUGUGGAACAGGAGGAGACAUUCAAGCUGGGUGUAAUCCAAGUCAGUGGCUCAGGAGGCUGAGGCAGAAGGAUCGCACUUUGAGGGCAGCCAGAUCAACUUUGGAGACUCUGUUACAAGACAAGACAUAAAAGGGGCUGGGGUGUGGCUCAGUGGUAAAGCAGCCCUGCCUGCAACAGCCUGCACCCCAGUGGGUGCCCAGCACUGUCUGCUAGGCAGGAUUCCACUCCCAGCCAUACCCCAGGAGAGACAGGAGACCUGAUCUCAGGACCCUGCACAAGAACCCUCUGCAGUGGGCCAACUCAGCCCUAUGGCAGGCAGCCUGGCUGGCACCACACAGGAUGAAUGAAGGACGGUGGGCAGCAGGGGGCACACCCGUGGAGAGGAAGACUCCCACCUCACACAGAUGGAUGCCAUCUCCUGAUGGGAACACUCAAGUGUCCCUCGUCCCCCCGCCCCACUUCCCACCUCACAGCUCCCUGUGUUCUGCUGUGGUGCAAGGAACUGCAUGGAACAUCCCAGAAAUAAGCAAUGUAUAAGUUUUAAGUGUGUGUGUGUGUGUGUGUGUGUGUGUGGUGCUGGGGAUUGAACCCAGGGGUGCUCUCUUGUUUUUAUUUUGAGACAGGGUCUCUCUAAGUUGCUGAGCCUGGCCUUGAACUUUCUUUCCUCUUGUCUCAGGAGUGUGUCAUCAAACCUGGCUUAAAUAUCUUCUGUGAUGGUAUGUUGUCACAGUUGUUCUUUUUAUCAUUAGUUGUUGCUAAUCUCUCGCUGUGACUAAUUUGCAGCCUGAGGCACCCCUGGGGGCCUGGGACCAUAUUCCCAAGGGUAAGGGGUAUGACUGAACGCAAAGCUUAAGAGCAGACAAACCAACCUGUGCAGAGAAACAGCCACAGUGUCCCUGGGGAGAGACAGACUGGAAGGGUCACAGAAGACACCGAGGCAGGGUCCCAGACUGCCCCCUGGCUGAUGUGGUAUGGUGUGUCUACCAGAACCCAUCACGGGAAGGUGUGUCUGCCACACCAGGUGACGGCCCUUCCAGGCUGGACUGCACUUAUGUCACUCUCUGUGUGUUCUAACAUGGGCCACAGCACAAUGGCACCAGCUCACAGCGUGGCUUUGAAUAUGGGAAGUAACAGUCGGUGUGUCACUCUGGGGGCUGAGAACUGGCUGUUGGCCACUACCUCGCUGAGGACGACUCUGGGACACAGGGGAGUGAUGUGCCCCUGUUCCCUGGCUGCCCCCUGGCGGUUUCCACCAGUCAGGCCCUGGUCUGCUCCUGGGCUCUGCAGAGGGUAUUCCAUUUCUGCUGUUUCCUCCAGUUUUGGACACAUUGCCACCGGGAUGUCGCUACACUUGUCUCCUCUUGGGACAUUCUGUUGUGACUUCGUGUGUUGGUGACUACCUGUGGCUGUAAGUGUCCUCCUAAUUAUCAGUUGGCUCCAUGGCUGAGAGUCAGGAAAGCAGUAGAUUAAUUCUACUAACUUGACCCCAAAUAGUAAGGGUCUCAGUGACCGUGUGGAGACCUCAGGCCAGAUGGCCGGGCUGUUGCCUUGCCAUUGCAUCUCCUCCCCACAGCUGGCCCUGGUACUGCUGCAGCCCUACAACUCCAGGUGGCAACCCUCCUGCAGGCCACCUGUGUGCGUGUGAGCACCAGGUUUCCUUAGCAGGUGCAGGGGCACACAAGACCAGCUGCACUUCGCCAGAGCUCUUCUUGGUCGGUGCCCUGUCUGGGCUGUACCUCUGCUGGAGAUACUGUCCACCUGUGAUAGGCCUUUCUGGACCCAAGACACUAACUUUGUCCUACACCCCAGCCUUUUAAUUUCAGGCCUCAUGCCACCUUCUAGAAGGAACUUCUUACAAUUUCUGCAGUAGGAACAAGCUCAGACCCCAGCACCUACCCCUGGUGGAGCCCACUAGGACCCUGGAGGCUGCCCAUCUCCUGGCAAUCCUAGGCAGGGCCUCUGGGCCUCCUCCCUCUGGGCAGCUGGGAAACCGUUUCCUCGGAAACAUUUAUAAGCAGAUGUUGUGAAAAUACCAAUUAUGUGGUUUGGUUGGAUUCAAUCUCUAUCUAAUCGUAGAAACUAAUUAUAGGUUGCCACUACUAAAUAAUUUCAAGGAAAAAAAUCAAAUCAUGUUAUUUUCUUGCCAAUAAACCACUCAACUAUAUGUAAUCUUA